rnacentral:rRNA from 1 species
UACGAAGGGGGCUAGCGUUGUUCGGAAUUACUGGGCGUAAAGGGCGCGUAGGCGGUGUGUCAAGUCAGGCGUGAAAGCCCCGGGCUCAACCUGGGAACCGCGCUUGAGACUGGCACGCUCGAGUUCGGGAGAGGAUGGUGGAAUUCCCAGUGUAGAGGUGAAAUUCGUAGAUAUUGGGAAGAACACCGAUGGCGAAGGCAGCCAUCUGGACCGACACUGACGCUGAGGUGACGAAAGCGUGGGGAGCAAACAGG